rnacentral:tRNA from 1 species
GGCCCCGUAGCUCAACUGGAUAGAGCAACGGAUUUCUACUCCGUUGGUUGGGGGUUCGAGUCCCUCCGGGGUCGCCA